CCUACGGGUGGCAGCAGUGGGGAAUAUUGCACAAUGGGCGAAAGCCUGAUGCAGCAACGCCGCGUGAGGGACGAAGGCCUUCGGGUUGUAAACCACUUUCAGAAGGGACGAAGCGAAAGUGACGGUACCUGCAGAAGAAGCUCCGGCUAACUACGUGCCAGCAGCCGCGGUAAUACGUAGGGGUCAAGCGUUGUCCGGAAUUAUUGGGCGUAAAGAGCUCGUAGGUGGUUUGUCGCGUUGUUCGUGAAAACUCACAGCUUAACUGUGGGCGUGCGGGCGAUACGGGCAGACUAGAGUGCUGUAGGGGAGACUGGAAUUCCUGGUGUAGCGGUGGAAUGCGCAGAUAUCAGGAGGAACACCGAUGGCGAAGGCAGAGCUCUGGGCCGUAACUGACGCUGAGGAGCGAAAGCAUGGGUAGCGAACAGGAUUAGAUACCCCUGUAGUC
rnacentral:rRNA from 1 species